GCACAAGCGGAGGAACAUGUUGGUUUAAUUCGAUGAUACGCGAGGAACCUUACCUGGGCUUAAAUGUAGAGUGCAUUUUUUAGAGAUAGAAAUUCCCUUCGGGGCUUUCUGCAAGGUGCUGCAUGGUUGUCGUCAGCUCGUGCCGUGAGGUGUCGGGUUAAGUCCCAUAACGAGCGCAACCCUUAUCGUUAGUUGCCAUCUGGUAAUGCAGGGGACUCUAGCGAAACUGCCACCGUAAGGUGAGAGGAAGGUGGGGAUGACGUCAAAUCAGCACGGCCCUUAUGUCCAGGGCUACACACGUGCUACAAUGGGCGAUACAGAGGGAAGCAAGGCCGCAAGGUAGAGCUAAUCCCUAAAGUCGUCCUCAGUUCGGAUUGCAGGCUGCAACUCGCCUGCAUGAAGUCGGAAUCGCUAGUAAUCGCGGAUCAGCUACGCCGCGGUGAAUACGUUCUCGGGCCUU
rnacentral:rRNA from 1 species